rnacentral:rRNA from 1 species
AUUGAACGCUGGCGGCAUGCCUUACACAUGCAAGUCGAACGGUAACAGGUCUUCGGAUGCUGACGAGUGGCGAACGGGUGAGUAAUACAUCGGAACGUGCCCGAUCGUGGGGGAUAACGCAGCGAAAGCUGUGCUAAUACCGCAUACGAUCUACGGAUGAAAGCGGGGGAUCGCAAGUCCUCGCGCGGACGGAGCGGCCGAUGGCAGAUUAGGUAGUUGGUGGGGUAAAGGCUCACCAAGCCUGCGAUCUGUAGCUGGUCUGAGAGGACGACCAGCCACACUGGGACUGAGACACGGCCCAGACUCCUACGGGAGGCAGCAGUGGGGAAUUUUGGACAAUGGGCGCAAGCCUGAUCCAGCCAUGCCGCGUGCAGGAUGAAGGCCUUCGGGUUGUAAACUGCUUUUGUACGGAACGAAAAGGUUCUUUCUAAUAAAGAGAGCCCAUGACGGUACCGUAAGAAUAAGCACCGGCUAACUACGUGCCAGCCGCCGCAGUAAAAC